GGUGAGAUUCCUGAGUGGUUAAAAGGGACAGACUGUAAAUCUGUUGUUGAAAAACUUCGAAGGUUCAAAUCCUUCUCUCACCA
rnacentral:tRNA from 1 species